CCUACGGGUGACAGCAGUGGGGGAUAUUGCUCAAUGGGCGAAAGCCUGACGCAGCGACGCCGCGUGAGGGAUGAAGGUCUUCGGAUCGUAAACCUCUGUCAGCAGGGAAGAACGGUCACUGUGCUAAUCAGCAGUGAAUUGACGGUACCUGCAAAGGAAGCACCGGCUAACUCCGUGCCAGCAGCCGCGGUAAUACGGAGGGUGCGAGCGUUAAUCGGAAUUACUGGGCGUAAAGCGCUCGUAGGCGGGAUGUCAAGUCAAGGGUGAAAGCCCCGGGCUGAACGUGGGAACUGCCUUUGAAACUGGCAAACUGGAGUGUGUGAGAGGAUAGUGGAAUUCCAGGUGUAGGAGUGAAAUCCGUAGAUAUCUGGAGGAACAUCAGUGGCGAAGGCGACUAUCUGGCACAUAACUGACGCUGAGGAGCGAAAGCGUGGGUAGCAAACAGGAUUAGAUACCCCAGUAGUC
rnacentral:rRNA from 1 species